rnacentral:rRNA from 1 species
GUGUCAGCCGCCGCGGUAAUACAGAGGGUGCAAGCGUUAUUCGGAAUUAUUGGGCGUAAAGCGCAUGUAGGUGGUUUGAUAAGUCUGAUGUGAAAUCCCCGGACUCAAUUCGGGAAGUGCAUUGGAUACUGUUAAACUGGAGUGUGGGAGAGGUAAGCGGAAUUCCAGGUGUAGAGGUGAAAUUCGUAGAUAUCUGGAGGAACAACAGAGGCGAAGGCGGCUUACUGGACCACUACUGACACUGAGAUGCGAAAGCGUGGGGAGCAAACAGGAUUAGAAACCCGCGUAGUCC